rnacentral:rRNA from 1 species
GUGGGGAAUCUUGCGCAAUGGGCGAAAGCCUGACGCAGCCAUGCCGCGUGAAUGAUGAAGGUCUUAGGAUUGUAAAAUUCUUUCACCGGGGACGAUAAUGACGGUACCCGGAGAAGAAGCCCCGGCUAACUUCGUGCCAGCAGCCGCGGUAAUACGAAGGGGGCUAGCGUUGCUCGGAAUUACUGGGCGUAAAGGGCGCGUAGGCGGACAGUUUAGUCAGAGGUGAAAGCCCAGGGCUCAACCUUGGAAUUGCCUUUGAUACUGGCUGUCUUGAGUACGGGAGAGGUGAGUGGAACUCCGAGUGUAGAGGUGAAAUUCGUAGAUAUUCGGAAGAACACCAGUGGCGAAGGCGACUCACUGGCCCAAUACUGACGCUGAGGCGCGAAAGCGUGGGGAGCAAACAGGAUUAGAAACCCGAGUAGUCC